rnacentral:tRNA from 1 species
CGGGGUGUGGCUCAGAUGGCUAGAGCGCCUGCUUUGGGAGCAGGAGGUCCCCAGUUCGAGUCUGGGCACCCCGA